AGAGCUCUAAUUAGGAGCUUGAUUAUGGUAAAAGAACAUUCUGACAACUUUGAGGAAGGCAUAACGUGACUGAAUCCAGCAUAUUCAGUGAGAAGUUUGAGCUGCUACUAGCCCUAGACUACACCGAAGAAAGUCAAAUUGGUUUGGAAUAACAGGAAGGAGCUGGUCGAGU